GUGGUGCCAUGGGGUGAACUGCUGCUGUGGGCCGGCAUGCACUAAUAGGGCAGGUGGUGCCACUAGGUGGUGCCCUUGGGGCGGGUGGAGCCACGGGGUGGCGCUAUCGGGUCGGGUGCUGCUGUGGGGCAGGGGCUGCUGUGGGUCAGAUGCUGCUAUGGGGCAGGGGGUGCCAUAGGGUGGGGUGCCCUAUGGGGAAGGGGCUGCUAUGGGGCCGGUGCUGCCCCAUUGAACUCCAUGUUACCGCAUAGCACUCCAUAUUACCCCAUAGCGCUCCAUAUUACCCCAUAGCGCUCCAUAUUACCCCAUAGCGCUCCAUGUGACCCCAUAGCGCUCCAUAUCACACCAUAGCACUCCAUAUAACCCCAUAGC
ensembl:lncRNA